CGCCUUCUGCAUUUAUUAGUAUAGAAGGUCCCGCCUGCCCUGUGACUUAUGUUUAACGGCCGCGGUAUUCUGACCGUGCAAAGGUAGCGCAAUCACUUGUCUUUUAAAUGAAGACCUGUAUGAAUGGCAUGACGAGGGCUUUACUGUCUCCUCUUUUUGGUCCAUGAAAUUGAUCUUUCCGUGCAGAAGCGGGAAUACCAACAUAAGACGAGAAGACCCUGUGGAGCUUCAGACUCCUAAGCAGCCCCCGUUAAUAAAGCCUAGUUAAUGGUUUAUAACUUUAAACUACCUGCCUUACUGUCUUUGGUUGGGCGACCGCGGAGAAUUACUAAACCUCCAUGUGGACCGAAAGAACUAAUCUUUUAUAACUCAGGCGGCAGCCCUAAGUAGCAGGAUUUCUGACCAGAAAUGAUCCGAGAGCCGAUCAACGAACCAAGUUACCCCAGGGAUAACAGCGCAAUCCCCUUUUAGAGCCCGUAUCGACAAGGGGGUUUACGACCUCGAUGUUGGAUCAGGACAUCCUAAUGGUGCAGCCGCUAUUAAGGGUUCGUUUGUUCAACGAUUAAAGUCCU
rnacentral:rRNA from 1 species